AAAAGUGCACUUUCAGUAAAGUGAGUAAUUGGCAAAACGGGUUAUCAUUUUCAUGUUGAAGUGGCAGGGGGGUGUUGUUGGCACCUGCUGAAUGUAACUAAUAAAGUAACUAGUAAUC